rnacentral:lncRNA from 1 species
GCCGCGAAUUCGGCCUCGUCUCCGCCACCUUCCUCGCCAACAACAACGGAUCCGAUCUGAACAAGCUUUUCUUCUGCGAGAUCGAGUUCUCGCGGUCCCAAUCUUCCUUCCAGCGAUUCGGCGUCAACGCUCUCCCUCACAUCCGUCUCGUAACCGGUUCAACAGCGAAACUAAGCGACGAAUCUGGUCAAAUGGACCAGUCUGAUUUCGCGAGGUUAGCCGAAUCCAUGGCUGAGUUCGUCGAGCAGCGAACCAAGCUCACCGUCGGUCCGAUCCAACGUCCGCCGUUUCUUUCCAAGGCGCAGAUCAGCGUCAUCGUGGCGAUGAUCGUAAUCGCGACUCCGUUUGUCAUCAAACGGAUUCUGAGAGGAGAGACUCUUCUCCAUGACCAUAGGCUUUGGUUAUCAGGCGCUAUCUUCAUCUACUUCUUCAGCGUCGCGGGAACGAUGCACAACAUUAUCAGGAAGAUGCCUAUGUUUCUCCAGGAUCGUAACGAUCCGAACAAGCUUGUUUUCUUCUACCAAGGAUCUGGGAUGCAGCUUGGAGCUGAGGGGUUCGCUGUGGGGUUCUUGUACACUGUCGUUGGGUUGCUCUUGGCGUUUGUUACUAAUGUGCUUGUUCGGGUUAGGAACCUUAAUGUUCAGAGACUGGUGAUGCUUGUGGCUCUGGUUGUGUCCUCCUGGGCUGUGAAGCAAGUUGUUUACUUGGAUAAUUGGAAGACUGGUUAUGGGAUUCAUCCCUAUUGGCCAUCGAGUUGGCAGUGAGGUGAUGGGGGUUUAGUUUUCAAGACAUUUUCUGGAACUGAGUUAUUAUGAUAUGAUGGACGUUUUGUGUUUUGAAUCAGUGUAGUACAAUUUCAGAUGGUUUUAAACUCAGUACUGCUUUACUACUUCCUUGUUACUCUAUAUAGUCAGUGACAACCAUUGCCCACUGUUCUGUAGGCUCUGUAUAGGAGGAGCCAUACUCAGAAAUUCAGAUUCUUUUGGGCUCUCUAUCUGCAUAUUGCCAAAUUGUUAGGAUAAGUGAAUUUAGAGUCUGGAGAUCACUCUAAGAUAGUUUUUAUAACAUUCUACUUAUCGUUCCCGAUUGUUUGUGUGCAUUGUGCGUUUCCAUGUUAUAAUAUUUUACUUAUCAUAACACUAAAACGUACAGCAGUCCCCUUACAUAACCACGUAGAGUUUACAUGUGCAUCUAGUCUUUCGUAGAAAAAAAAUGAUUUUGCUUAGAAGAUGAUGUAGCAUUAUGGGAUCUUUUAGCUAUGUUUUUUGAUCUUCCUCCUCUCGUUUGUGGUUUCAUUUCUCUGAAAAUGUAUUUCCAUCUCAUUCUCAUGUUUCUUUCGGUUUGAAGAAUCAGCCUGAGUCGAGAUUUGUUUGCUGAGUAUUGAGUUCUUUGUACAAUUUAAUAUGACAGAGAUAAAACUUUCGGUUUGUGUGCGUGGGCACCAUGCUCUUCUCGUAAAAAUUGAGAAAGGGCUUUGCAUUAUUGACACUCGCUGUUUAUCUCUGCUUCUAACACAGACCUUGACCAAUUUGGUACAUUAGAAUGAUAUCAAAGAGUCACAAAUUAGUAAGCACAUAGCUUGUCUAGCGAUGAGAUCAGCCAUUUUCUUUGUUUUCCUUCGGUUCUAUUGAUGAUCAGCAAUGACAAAAUCAAAACCAGAAUGAUAUACCUCAAGAAAGAAGCUUCUGCAGAUUAAGCCAGACAUCCGGAUCAGCUUCUUCACAUCUACCUUCAUGACAACCAUCGUAUAUCCCACAUUCUCUCUACAUAGCCCACCAUAAACCAAUUCUUUCUGUCAUAAGUUGAGAAAUCUGUCUUGGGACUGUUCUCAUUCCAAAACAGAUUGCACUACCCUUCUCUUGCCUUUUUUUUGCUUUUCUUUUUGAAACACCCUUCUCGUGCCUUUAAAUUCAGCAAACACCACUUGUGUUCUGUACUUAAAUCUCCGUAUGUGAUGGAUUAGGUUCAACAAUACCUUGAAUCCUUGAUGGGAGAUUGCGAAAAAUUGGUCCCAAUAGUUUGUUGUUUAGUACACAUGUUCAGUAAAAUGUUGAACGCAAACAAGUUGUCUUUUGAUUUGUAAUUUGCAAUGUAAGUUUUUUUUUGUUGUGGAAAACUUCAAAUCUUUCAUAUUAAAAACGGAUGAUUCUGUUUUUCUGAAGCCAUAAAUUGAAACUAAUGUUUGAAACAAUUCAAGCCUACUAUUUUGAAAAUAACAUUUGAUUAGGUUUUUGUCCAAUCAAAUGAUUGGUAAAUAUUCCCUUUUCACUUUGGAAUGGGUUGCAUAGUCGUCUUACUUCAUUUAAUCCGUAUAUAUUUCCAGCAUACAUUUUUUUCUGCCAUUCCCAACAUACAUUUUUUUUCUGCCAUUCAUUAAACAAAUGUUUUCGAAAAAAAACUUUCUGUCACUUUAUCCAUAUGAACUUCUCCUUAUAAUUUAGAACACUAUUUACUAUUUUAAGGUUUCCUCUCUCUGGACCUCGAGUUUUGCAUAUACUCUGUAAUAAACUGUGUAUUAAAAUUUAUAAGAUUAAAUUUUUUAUAUAAAACUUCAAUUUGAACUACUUAAUAUGAGAAACCUAAUUCAAAUAAUUAUGUAAUUUUUAUAUAUGUAUAUUGAUGUGGGAUUUUCAACAUAUUUUGCCAAAUCGAUUUCAUGGGUUGAGGUUGGUUACUUUCGUGAUGGAUUGGAUCGACUUGUGUAUUUCAUUCAAAUUAUCCUAAGGAGUGAAUUACUUUCUCAAAUAAAAGGUUCAAUUGUAGUACUUAAGGAUCGAAUUCACAAGGAGUUAGGGAACCUAAUAAAUAUAAUCACAGUGGAGUUAGGGAACCUAGUAAAUAUAAUCACAGUGGAGUUAGGGAACCUAAUAAAUAUAAUCAGAGUGAUUAAGCUAGGUUGAUUAUGUUUAAAUGUAUAUAGCAGGUUGUGAGAAAGGUAGUUGCUCGAAUGGUUUGAUUGGGUUUGUGACACUGAAAUGAAAUAGCUAGACUAAAGGUUUCUAUUCAGGUAAUCAUGAUUAUAAUCCUACAGAUGCUUAACAAUUGUAUGCAUGAUAUUAUAGAGCUCAAUCGCUUAUGAACAAAUCGGUCGGCAUUCACUUUCUAGGUUUGUCUGUUGAUCAGAUCUAAGUGUCGAUCGAUGAUUCUAGAAGAAUAUCGAUUGAUACACCUUUUGCACCGUCGAUCAAUUAUUCUGUAGGAAUAUCGAUCAACGCGCUCUUAGUCAAGCUUUACGCGCAGGUUGAAUAAUGCUCACUAGACUUACUAGAUCAGCUUUCGCCUUACUCUAACAAUCCUAGCUCAAUUAGGAUGGAUUCAAGGUGAGAUUCAAGUGUUAACUUGUGCCUACAAUCCUAGCACCAUCGAUCGAUUAUUUCCUCUGAAUGACGACUUCUGGUCUUAUUCGAUGGUCAACUCGGAUGUUCUCCUUUUAUCUCCAAAAAUACUCCAAAAUCAUCACUUUCUUCCAGUUCACUCUUGAACCUAUAAAUAUACUAAAUAGACUCUAAAAUAUAAUAAUUAGUUAUUAAAACUCUUAUAAACCAUGGCUAAAAGUGGGUAAAAUCCAUGACAUAUCACUCAACAUCAAAUUCAUGUAAUGAUUUUAACUCAAAAUUAAUGUAUAUCAAUCUAGACUUAAAAUAUUUCAGAUUUUCUUAUGUAGACUAGAUUUUUUUUUUGUCCACAAUAAAUUUUAUCUAUCCAAUUUUUAUUAUUUUUGGUAAAUUUUUCAAAUUUAAACUACCUCUGAAAACUCAAGUUUUUUUUUUGUUGUGGAAAACUUAAAAUCUUUCAUAUUAAAAACGGAUGAUUCUGUUUUUAUGAAGCCAGACAUUGAAACUAAUGUUUGAAACAAUUGAAGCCUACUUUUUUGAAAAGAACUUUUGAUUAGGUUUUUGUCCAAUCAAAUGAUUGGUAAAUAUUCCCUUUUCGCUUUGGAAUGGGUUGCAUAGUCCACUUGCUUCAUUUAAUCCGUAUCCAUUUUUCCAGCAUACAUUUUUUUCUGUCAUUUCCAGCAUACAUUAAACAAAUGUUUUUGAAAAAAAAACUUCUUGUCACUUUAUCCAGAUGAACUUCUCCUUAUAAUUAAGAACACUAUUUACUAUUUUGAGGUUUCCUCUAUCUGGACCUCGAGUUUUGCAUAUACUGUAAUAAACUGUGUAUUAAAAAUUAUAAGAUUAAUUUUUUUAUAUAAAACUUCAAUUUGAAUUACUUAAUAUGAGAAAACUUAUUCAAAUAAUUAUGUAAUUUUUAUAUAUGUAUAUUGAUGUGGGAUUUUCAACAUAUUUUGCCAAAUCGAUUUCAUGGGUUGAGGUUGGUUACUUCCAUUAUGGAUUGGAUCGACUUGUGUCUGUCUCAACAUCAAAUUCAUGUAAUGAUUUUAACUCAAAAUUAAUGUAUAUCAAUCUAGAUUUCAAAUAUCUCAGAUUUUCCUAUGUAGACUCCAGUGUUGUGGUAACAAGUUGGGAAGCCUAAGGCAAACUUUAUUUUUAACGAAACUUAAUAUAAAAUAAAUAUAUUUGUAUCAGAAUAUGAGUUUUUUUUAACUAUUGUAUUUUAUGAGAUUAAGGAUAUACUAAUUAACAACUAUCAUUUUUCUUCUAAAAAUAAUCUAUUAAUAUUUUUAAGUUAUGCAAUAAAACUACUAUAAAUGGUCUACAUGCAACUACAUUGCACUAAAAUAAAUACUGUAAAAUUCAAAUAACAAAACCAAUAUAAAAUAAAAAGAAGAAGACAUGAAUACUGAACAAGUAGAAGAAAAAAUAAAAAUCAAAACUCAAUGAAAAAUAUCUCUCAGAUAAGCAAAACCCCACUAUAUAUUGAUAUAAAACAUGAAAAUCUCACAUAAAUCAUUAAUUUUUGUGAUCUGAAAUAUAAACCUUUUUGAAUUAGGGACCCUCAAAAUUAUCACAAUAUAUAGGGGGCUUAAGGCAAUUUCCUUUUUACUCUAACGGUAAGCACGACUCUGGUGGAUUUUAUUUUGUCCACAAUAAAAUAUCUAUCCGAUUUUUACUAUUUUUGGUAAAAUUUUCAAAUCUAAAUACCUCUGAAAACUCAUAUUAUCUGGUUCCCACCUCCAACUCUCGUCCUCCGUCCAAUUUCUACCUGCCUCUAGACGCCGACCCUCUCGCUCUGAGCUCCUUAUAUCCCCUCACCCCUCCUAUUGAAUAAAAUGGUGGUCUAGGUGUUGAUGACUAAGCGGUUUCUCCUACUGUUAUCUCUUUCUUAAGUUGUUUGUACAUCCUCCUUAUAGUAUGCUUAUUGUUGAUCUUCAGUGAGAUCCCUAACUUGGUCUUGUACUUUGUAGUGAAAUUUUCUUCGUUUUCAUACAUUGCAUACCGGUUAUAUGCUCUUUAGUGGUAUUUUCUCUUGGUUGAUACUUUAUGUUUGAAGUUAUCUUGCUUUCAAAAUUUUGCUGCGCCUUAAGUGCUUACGACAAUGAGUCAUUGUUACACUAGAAAAAAAAGAGAAAUGGAGUGAAGCUCCCAACCAGCCCAGACGAAAACCACCAGUCUGUAUCCCAAAAUCACACUGCUUCUCAACUAAAAAAAAACAAAUUUACCCUUAUUGAAAGAGUUACAAACCUAGUAGUCCAAAACACUAAGGCUCUUGUUGAGCUCUUUCUACAACAUUAUAACGUCACAAAGAGGUUUACAUGAAGAGAUUUGGAGCCCUAAUUAUCUCAGUUCCGUUUUGAUAAUGAAAAGGACCUCCUUACCAUUCUAAAAAAAGCUCUCUUCCAUUUUAAGAAAUGGAUGCUAGAUCAUCUAGCAAUGGAAGCAGUAAUCUCAAAAAAGUUCCCAGCCUACUUAUUUUUUUAGAAACAAAUCUAUCGAAUUCCCCUCCACUAACGAUUAAGGCAACAAGAAAUGAACUAGGUCUGGUAUAGGAUUGUGUCCUAAACCAUGCGCGAGUCCGAGUGUCUAUUAAUGUUCUUAGUCCAUUGGAGAUGACCCAAUGGAUAUUAUGAAUUAUAGGAGCAGAUCAUAUUCCUAAAACCAAAAACUAUAAGAUAUCUACACAAAUGGACCAGUUACAAGAAAGACAGUAUUACAAGUUGGAUCCUGUCCGAUAAUGGGCAUGGUCCGAUUUUGACUCAAUCUUUGUUUAACAAAUUUUCUCGGUGGCUUCAAAUCUAUCUCUGAUUAAAAUUCGAAUUCUAACAAGCAGGCGCACAACAUCAUUAAUACGAACGAUAAAGACUUCUUCAUGAUCACCUCAUGACCUCAAGGGAGGGUAACUUUUUUUUUUGUUAUAACUAGAAAAGAAAGAGACAGGUACAGAGAAGGAAGCUCAGGCUAACACGAGAUAAUUCGUCCUGAUUAUGCAAGUUGACAUCAAAGGGAUUGAAACUAAAAUGUGAAUGACGGCUAUCAGGUUUUGGUUAUACAUUUCUUUGCUUAUAUAUCUUGCUGUCUAAUACUUGCUUCCCGCACAUGGCACACAAUCUUGCACAACAGAUAGGUAGAAGUAUUUACUACUGUAUGACUAUCUAAGUAGAGGUGUUAUACCAGAUAGGUAGAUGUGAUUACUAUAUUUACCUUUGCUAUAGGCACAUGUGUGACAAUAUUUACCAUCUUGAUGCACUUGCUGCUUGCAGAUCAUACACUUUGUCGUAGCGGUACCGUAAGGUGACCAUCUAUAAACGACGAAACAUCAUAAGACAAGAUCAGAAGCAGCAAGGAAAAGACAAAAAGAAAAAAAAGCAGAAGAAAGAGAAAAAUAACAAUGAGAACGCUAAUCCUCUAACUCGUCCUUAUAGAUAGUUGUAAUCAGUUCUCCGAUUACGAGUACUAUAAGUCUACACCGCAUAAAGAUAUUAGAGUUUAACAAUCAAAUAUUCUUUUACUAAACCUAUAUAAAUGUAUUUUAAAACGGGAAGAGUAUUAAAAUGUCGUUAACAUUUUCAAUGCAUUUAUUUAUUUAAUAAUUUUGUUUAUUUUUAAAACUAUUAUUAAUUAACAAAAUAAAAAAAUACUAAAUUAGAAUUAUAAUAUUAAAUUUAAUUAUUUAAUAUAUGUAAAGAAAUUGAAGGGCAUGUUCGAUGAAAACUUAGGAAUAUGAUUUAGUACAAAUGGAUUAAGACUAAAAAAAUGACUAUCAUUCACAGUAGACUAUAGAAUUUAAUGGGUUUGAAGAUCUUUGUAAUAUUUUCCGAGAUGUUAAAAUGAAUUUUGAGCUAAAAGUUGGUAAUGAAUUCGUCUGUAAAAAAGAAAAGGUUAGUAAUGAACAGCAGAUAUUUUUACUAGAAAUGCACACAUAUCAGAAACCAUGCUAACUUUUAUUUGAACCGGAGUCAGUGUUAUGUUAAGAUUUAUGAGAAUAAGAGAUAUUUAAUGAGAGUUUAUUGUUGAAUAAUGAAAAACAAAAGAGAGAAAAGGAGAGAAUAAUUUUCCUUAGAACUAAAAUGUGUCAUUACAAUGGGUUAUCAAGAGACAUAAUCAGAAUAGAACAUGCUUACUCUAGUAGCCAAACACCCUUGGCUUACUAGGAAAGCUAAAAUAAAAUAUCUGUCUGUUUUUACUGUAGUUCCGCGGGUACUGUUCAUUCUGGCAAGCCUUACUUAAUUUCCUUUGGCAAGUCUUGCUAACUUUAUUUCUUCAUGUCAAUACUCCCCCUCAAGCUUUAACAUAUGGUUAAGCUAACCCAUGAAAACAUCCCUCAUUAAAACCUUUUGUGUGAAAAAUCCAAUGGGACAAAAACACACAAAGGAAAAAGAGUAGAUGCUUCAUGGCUUAAGGGGAUCAUGAUCUAGUCAUGUCUAUGAGUCCCAAUCUCGGAUGAAUGAACUCGCAGACCUUAGUACUUGCUCCUUUGGUGAAGAUAUCAGCUAGCUGGUCUUCACUUCUAGUGUAGCAAGGUAGAAUAAUCUUCUGCUCCACAGCCUGUCUCACUUUGUGACAGUCCACUUCAAUGUGCUUUAUCCUUUCAUGAAACACUGAGUUUGAAGCUAUAUGAAUGGCCGCCUGAUUAUCACAGUGCAUGGUAAUUGGUGUUGAUGUCUCUAUUCCCAAGUCUCUUAGCAAGUUUCUGAUCCAAAUGAGCUCACUAGUCAGCUUCCUCAUUGCUCUAUACUCUGCCUCAUCACUCGAACAUGAUACCACUUUUUGCUUCUUGCUUUUCCACGUAACUAGAUUGCUUCCAAUGAAGGUGCAAUAACCUGUAGUAGACCUCCUAUCUACUCUAUCACCAGCCCAAUAUGCAUCACAAUAUCCCACAAUCUCUGUGCUCUUGUUGCAGCCCAUCCAAACACCUUGACCCGGGGCCUCCCUUAGGUAUCUCAUGAUCCUUUCUACCAUAUUCCAAUGAUGAACCUUAGGUGCUUGCAUAUGCUGGCUGACUUGGUUCACAGCAAAACAGAUGUCUGGUCUUGUAAUGGUGAGAUAGAUCAGCUUCCCAACCAUCCUCCUAUAGAGUUUGAAGUCUCCAAAUGGUUUGUCUUCAAACUCCCCCUCACGCAAGACUUUAUAGCCUUCUUCAAGUGGUGUUUUAGCUACUCUUUCUCCAAGCUUUCCUGCCUCAUUUAAAAUAUCAAGUGUGUACUUUCUUUGGGAUAAGAAAAGCCCCUCCUUAUAGCGGCAUAUUUCUAUCCCUAGAAAGUACUUUAGCUCACCCAAAUCUUUAAUAUCAAAGGUAGAUUUAAGAAAAGCUUUAGUAGAGAUGAUACUUUCCUUGUCACUCCCUGUGAUGAUAAUAUCACCACAAUUCCUUGCUUGCUUGUGAGAGUGAAGAGUGUAUGAUCAGCUUCUGAUUUUACAAACCCUUUUCCAUUGAGAGUUGUACUCAGUUUGUGAUACCAAGCUCUUGGUGACUGUUUUAAUCCAUAGAUUGCUUUCUUUAACCUUAGAACAUUCCCUGGCUUGACCAUAUCUUCCAUACCUGGAGGUGGCCUCAUGUAAACUUUAUCCUCCAGCUCUCCUUGAAGAAAAGCAUUAUUGACAUCCAUCUGCCAUAAAUUCCAUUCUAGGUUCACUGCCAAGGAGAGUAGAAUCCUUAUGGUGUGGAGUUUAGCUACUGGUGCAAAGGUAUCCAAAUAGUCUUCUCCAUAGACUUGAGUGUAUCCUCUUGCAACCAGCCUUGUCUUCUUCCUUUCUGGUUUUCCAUUGGCAAGAUACUUGAUGGUGAAAAGCAGGCGGCUUGUAACAGCUUUCUUUCCUUUGGGAAGCUCGGUUUCAUACCAAGUAUCAUUCUUGAUCAUGGCACCAACUUCAUCUCCAACUGAUUAUCUCCACUCUUCAUGCUCCAUGGCUUUUUCAUAAGUAUUUGGAACAUACUCUUGAUCCAGAUUGUUGAUGAAGACUACAUGCUCUUGAGGAUAACUCGCCAAAGAACAAGUUGCUUGGAUAGGGUUAGCUACUGCAUUGCUGUUCAAAUACACUCUGGUGUCAACCCAUUUGGAUGGUUUCUUUACUCUUGUACUCCUUCUCAAUGGUUGAUUCUCUUGACCUUCUACCACUGCAUCUUCAUGUCUUUAGUCUCCAUUAAAAUGAUCUUCACUAGGCUGAUCAGAUUCAUCUCCAUCUUGAUCAUGUGUGCUUGCUGAAUCAUCUCCUUUUUGCGGUUGUGAUUCAUGUUCAUUGCCCCCCUCAGGAUUAGGAUGGAAUGUUUCAAUAACUGGUGUUGCUUCUUCAUUGUUUCCAGCAGUUGGUGGUGAGGGAGAAGUCCUUAGCACCUCACUGCUCUGAGGCUGAUUGAUGCUUAGCCUUUCUAGAAUGAUUCUCAAGUUGUUUGCCCUAUCUGAAGGUCCUUGUGAGAGAUCUUGAAGGCUUUCCCAACUCUUCUCCUCAUAGUACCCCUUAGAUUCCACAAACUUAACAUCCCUUGAAAUCAAGACCCUUCUUGAUAUUGGAUCAUAGCACUUAUACCCUUUUUGUGUUGGAGAAUACCCAAUGAAUAUAGCUUUUGAGCUUUUAGCAUAUAGCUUGUUCCGCUGCUGUCCUGGUAUCAUCACAAAGCAGAGACACCCAAACACACGCAAGUGGUCCAAAGGUGGCUUGGUCUGGUUAAGAACCUCAAAUGGAGACAGGUCGUUGAAGACUUUAGUUGGAGUCCUAUUGAUCAGAUAGCUAGCACAUACCACAACAUCACUCCAGAACCUUUUUGGAACAUUGGUGUGAAACAUCAUUGAUCUUGCUACUUCUAUUAAGUGCCGGUUCUUCCUUUCAGCAACUCCAUUCUGCUGAGGAGUGUAAGGAAAACUUGUCUGGUGAAUAAUCCCAUGCUGAGUAAGGUAUUGUUUACAUGCCAGACUUGUGUACUCUCCACCAUUGUCUGACCUGAGGAUUUUCACCUUGGCAUUAAAGUGAUUGGAGACAUGGGCCUGAAAAUUCUUGAAAGCCUCUAACACCCUGUCUUUAAACGAAAGCAGUGUCACCCAAGUGUAUUUGGACUUCUCAUCAAUAAAGGUAACAAACUAUUUGUGAUUCUCCCUUGACAGACACGGUGCAGUCCAUACAUCAGAGUGAACCAAGUCAAAACAUUUCUCAUAAAUUGUACCAGACCUUGGAAAGACUGUCCUACAAUGCUUCCCCAAUAUACAUGCUUCACACUCAUCAUUCUUGAACACCACCCCAGGAAGUAUCAAGUUUAAAGCUCUAGUAUGGGGAUGCCCGAGUCUAGCAUGCCAAAUGUUGCUGUCAACCCCAUUCGAUAUACUGGCCAGACACUGAGAUGAAGAUGUUCCGAACACCUCUGUCUUCUGAAGAUGAUAUAGUUCAUUGUGAGUGUGCCCUUUUCCAAUCACAUGGCCUGUCUUUAAGUCUUGAUAUUCAACUUCAUCUGGUCUGAAGACAACCUGACAGCUAAGAUCAACCGUAGUCUUCCUCACAGAUAACAUAUUUGAUGUAAACUGAGACAUAUACAAAGCAGUUGAUUCUCUAUCAAACAACCUAAGGUUCCCUAUCCCUUCUAUCUUAACCUUAUCACCAUUUGCUAUAAGAACAUUCCCUAAGGCUGGCUGGAUAUCACUAAUCAAGUUCCUAUCACUAAUCAUGUGAUGGCUUACUCCUGAAUCUAUAAUGAUAGGUUUAAAGUCAAGAGAGUGUGUACCAGCCUUCUUGGAUGAUAUAAAGGCUUCGAUAAAGUGAUGAAGGUCACUCACGGUCGCUGGACCAUCGGUGGUAGCUGUACUAUCAGUACUUCUCCACGUUCAUCCUUUAUUACAACCACCAGUGAAAGAAGAAUACAUGGUUUUUCCUUGUAUCGCUGGAUGCUCAAACUCCUUAAGCUUAAAUAUAUUUGGCUGGCUUCUCAAGGAACAAACAUCUUCUAAAUCUGGAAUUUUCCUUUCUCUAAGGAAAUAAUUUAUCAGAUGGUUGUAGGGUGAAUUCAGGUUUAGGAGUAAGCUGAAAAACUUGUCUUGCUCAUAAACCGUUUGAAGACUCUCCCAUAGAUUCCCUUAAACAGUUUGAAGAUUUUCCCAUAGAUUUGUGGCUGUUUUACAGUGGGAAUGAGCAUCCAAGAUUGGCUUAGACAGAGAUUUGUGUAUGAUUUCUAGUGCUUGCUGGUCUUCUUGAACCCACUUGUUGUCAUGCUUCAGGCAAGUAGCCUGACUAUCCUCUUGAGCCAUCCUCUUUAAAGUUUCAGCCUCCAUGAUAUGGCUGUCUCAAAGUCCAUGACUUCCCAAAGUAACUCUCGCCACUCUUGACCAUAAAAGAUAGUUAGGACCUUCAAGGGUCACUGAAAUAAGGUUCUUCUUCUCCAUUUCCAUGGUUAGAAUUCUCUUACCCAAUGGGUAAAACAAUAGACCAGAGAAUAAAGAUUGAAGAACACAAAGAUUUUGAAAAGAAAAAGAUUGAUUUGCGGAAUGAUAUGAGCUUAUUGCUCUGAUACCAUGUUAGAUUUAUGAGAACAUGAGAUGUUUAAUGAGAGUUUAUUGCUGGAUAAUGAAGAACAAGAGAGAAAGAGAAGGAGAGAAUAAUUUUCCUUAGAUCUAAAAAGUGUCAUUACAAUGAGUUAUCAAGAGACAUAAUCAGAAUAGAACAUACUUACUCUAGUAGCUAAACACCUUUGAUUUACUAGAAAAGUUAAAAUAAAAUAUCUGUCUGUUUUUAGUGUAGCUCCGCGGGUACUUUUCAUUCUGGCAAGCCUUGCUUAAUUUUUUUUGGCAAGUCUUGCUAACUUUAUUUUUUCAUGUCAAUACUCCCCCUCAAGCUUUAACAUAUGGUUAAGCUUGGAACCCAUGAAAACAUCCCUCAUUAAAACCUUUUGUGUGAAAAAUCCAAUGGGACAAAAACACACAAAGGAAAAAGAGUAGAUGCUUCAUGGCUUAAGGGGAUCAUGAUCUAGUCAUGUCUAUGAGUCCCAAUCUCGGAUGAAUGAACUCGCAGACCUUAGUACUUGCUCCUUUGGUGAAGAUAUCAGCUAGCUGGUCUUUAGAUAGUUGUAAUCAGUUCUCCGAUUACGAGUACUAUAAUUCUACACCGCAUAAAGAUAUUAGAGUUUAACAAUCAAAUAUUCUUUUACUAAACCUAUAUAAAUGUAUUUUGAAACGGGAAGAGUAUUAAAAUGUCGUUAUCAAUGCAUUUAUUUAUUUAAUAAUCUUGUUUAUUUUUAAAACUAUUAUUAGUUAACAAAAUCAAAAAAUACUAAAUUAGAAUUAGAAUAUUAAAUUUAAUUAUUUAAUAUAUGUAAAGAAAUCGAAGGGCAUGUUCGAUGAAAACUUAGGAAUAUGAUUCAGUACAAAUGGAUGAAAACUAAAAGAAAAUGACUAGCAUUCACAGUAGACUAUAGAGUUUAAUGGGUUUGAAGAUCUUUGUAAUAUUUUCCGAGAUGUUAAAAUGAAUUUUGAGCCAAAAGUUGGUAAUGAAUACGUCGUAGAAAAGAAAAGGUUAAUAAUGAACAGCAGAUAUUUUUACCAGAAAUGCAAAAUAAUUAAUAUUAAUUUUAACUAUAUUACAUUUAAUUAUUUAAUUUAAUAUAUUUACAUUAGAAUUAUUUCAAAAUUAACGAGUUUUCUUUUUUGCGGUUUAGGCGGGAAAACAAGAUUUUUCGGUUCUGGCGAGAAAACAAGAUUUUUCGGUUUUGGCGGAGAAAUACAAAUUUUUCGGUUUUGGCGAGAAAACGGGUUUUUACGGUUUUGUCGGGAAACACGUUUUUGGCGAGAAAACACGUUUUUGCGGUUUGGAGGGAACCACGUUUUUGCGAUUUUGGCGGAAAAACGCAUUUUUGCGGUUUUGGCGGGAAAACGUGUUUUUGCGGUUUUGGCGGAAAAACGCGUUUUUGCGGUUUUGGCAGGAAAACAUGUUUUUGGCGGGAAAACGCAUUUUUGCGAUUUUGGCGGGAAAACGUGAUUUUGUUGUUUUGGCGAGAAAAUGUGGUUUUGCGGUUUUGGCGAGAAAACACAGUUUUGGCGGGAAAGCACGUUUUUGCGGUUUUGGCGAGUAAACGUGUUUUUGCGUUUUUAGCGGGAAAACAAGUUUUUGCGAUUUUGGCGGAAAACGCGUUUUUGCGAUUUUGCCGGGAAAACACGUUUUUGGCGGGAACACUUUUUUACAGAUUUCGCGGGAAAACAAGAUUUUUCGGUUUUGGCGGGAAAAUACAAAUUUUCGGUUUUGGCGAGAAAACACGUUUUUUGGUUUUGGCGGGAAAACACGUGUUUUUGGUUUUGGCGGGAAAGUACGUUUUUGCAAUUUUGGCGGGAAAGUACGUUUUUGCAAUUUUGGCGGGAAAACACGUUUUGCGACUUUGGCGGUAAAACAUGUUUUUUUGUGUUUUGGCGGAAAAAUGUAUUUUGGGGUGUUGGCGUGAAAACAUUUUUUUUUUUGAUUUGUGCAUGAAAACAUGCUUUUCGGUUUUUGCAGGAAAACACGUUUUUGCAAUUUUGACGGGAAAAUAUUUUUUUUGCAAUUUUAGCGGAAAAAUGCGUUUUGGGGUUUUGGCGUGAAAAAAUAGUUUUUAGCACGGGAAAAAGUGUUUGUAGUUUUGUCAGUUUUCGUUUGUGACAAAAAUGAUUUUAUUUUAAGGUUUGUAAUUUGUGAAUUACAUUAGGGGCAUAAUAGAUUUUAUACCAUUUUGAAUGAACUAUCUCCAUUCAAAUGAUCCAAAUUGGUUCAGCUGAAUGGACUUUAAAAUUAAGACUAAAUUUCCAAAAGUCAUCCGGAUGAUCUAUUUGAAUGAAUUGCACUUUUAGCACUUCAUCCGGAUGAUCCAUCCAAAUGGAGAAACAAACAGGCCUUAUACAGGUAACUGAGGUAAGAUGUAGAAAAUCAAAUGGCAGAUGAAUUAAACUUGACCACGAGGUGAAUUAACAUGAGAAAGCUCUGAAGCUGCAGACUCUAACCACGAAUCAAAAUAGCCCACGUGGAUUCAGUAGCCAAUAAAAACCUUCCAUCGUGGAUAACCAGCGAGAUGGCAAAAUGAAGAGCUUCGUAGACCUUCUUCUCCAACUAGAGGCUCUCCGGUAAACGGGCAAUACCCUCGUCUUUCACCUUUCUCUUCUCCUCCCGAAUUUGAACUCACCCACCUGGACAUGACAAUGGCGAUCGAUAAAAAACUCUUAUCUCUUCUACUCCUCGUAUCCUCCCUAUCAUCAAUCGCAUCAGCAUCCUUCUCAGAUCCAGAUUCCGAUUCAGAUCUCACCAACGAGCUCGUUUCCCUGAGAUCGAACUCCGAAUCAGGCGUAAUCCAUCUCGACGACCAUGGAAUCUCCAAAUUCCUCAUCUCCUCUCCCGCACCUCGUCCUUACUCAAUCCUCGUCUUCUUCGACGCCACUCAGCUCCACAGCAAAACCGAGCUCCGUCUCCAAGAGCUCCGCCGCGAAUUCGGCCUCGUCUCCGCCACCUUCCUCGCCAACAACAACGGAUCCGAUCUGAACAAGCUUUUCUUCUGCGAGAUCGAGUUCUCGCGGUCCCAAUCUUCCUUCCAGCGAUUCGGCGUCAACGCUCUCCCUCACAUCCGUCUCGUAACCGGUUCAACAGCGAAACUAAGCG